rnacentral:misc_RNA from 1 species
UACGUAGGUGGCAAGCGUUGUCCGGAAUUGUUGGGCGUAAAGCGCGCGCAGGCGGUCUUUUAAGUCUGAUGUGAAAGCCCCCGGCUCAACCGGGGAGGGUCAUUGGAAACUGGGAGACUUGAGUACAGAAGAGGAGAGUGGAAUUCCACGUGUAGCGGUGAAAUGCGUAGAUAUGUGGAGGAACACCAGUGGCGAAGGCGACUCUCUGGUCUGUAACUGACGCUGAGGCGCGACAGCGUGGGGCGCGCCCAGG